UAGGUGUGUCUUCUUGCUUCAAAUAGCCU
rnacentral:piRNA from 1 species